GAACAUUGAACAACAAGUCCCAAUUUAUCUUACUUUGCCUUAAUAUGGUACACGGAUGGGAGUAGUUUACCAUCAUUUGCUUUUUUAGGUCUUAUUUUUUACUUGAAAUAAUCAAGUUUUGAUUAUGCGUGUUCGACUAGGCGGGUGAUUUCCAUAUUUCUCAAUUUAAUUUACUGAUUGGCUGAAAUUAUUUUCAAUGUGUGCAUGAAUCAGCGGGUGAUUUCCAAUAUUUUUUAGGGUAAUUCACUGAUUGGCUGAAAGUAAUUCAUACAUACGAGGCUCAGUGACGGUGUAUAUUUUAGCGACCAGAAUACAUUUGUGAAAUAAUUUGGUGUAUGAUUAAAUCAGUGAAAUACUCAUUUCAAUUAAGUAUCAGGACGUCUGCAAUAUUGCAAUAUUCGGGAUGACUGAACAACAUUCUUGAGUACAUCAGGAUGGCAUAGACGCAUCAACGCACAAGCGUGUUCCGCAAACCUUGGUCUGUACAAGUUGGCCAACCUUCUCAGAGAGGAAUCUGAGACAGUUGAUCUUCAGAUACGGCUGGUGAGCCAGCACCUUCUCACGAAGAUCAGACGGAAGAAAUAUGUUGCGAUACACGGCAGACUACAUCAAACAUGGGAUGACUACGAAGAGGAGAAGCUGACAACCACUGAUCUACUGAGGAUCAUCAGCCAUAUCAAUGCCCUGGGACCAUCCACGGCGGUCCACCACAUGCUCGACGACGACGAGUUUUGAACGAUGUGAAUGACUGAUAUUGUUGAAAUGUCACAUUAAAUUGUACUGUGUCAUAAA